rnacentral:rRNA from 1 species
UCCAGACUCCUACGGGAGGCAGCAGUGGGGGAUAUUGCACAAUGGGGGGAACCCUGAUGCAGCGACGCCGCGUGGGUGAAGGAGCGUUUCGGCGCGUAAAGCCCUAUCGGCAGGGAAGAAGGAGGACGGUACCUGACUAAGAAGCCCCGGCUAACUACGUGCCAGCAGCCGCGGUAAUACGUAGGGGGCAAGCGUUAUCCGGAUUUACUGGGUGUAAAGGGGGCGCAGACGGCAGCGCAAGCCAGGAGUGAAAGCCCGGGGCCCAACCCCGGGACUGCUCUUGGAACUGCGUGGCUGGAGUGCAGGAGGGGCAGGCGGAAUUCCUGGUGUAGCGGUGAAAUGCGUAGAUAUCAGGAGGAACACCGGUGGCGAAGGCGGCCUGCUGGACUGCAACUGACGUUGAGGCCCGAAAGCGUGGGGAGCAAACAGGAUUAGAUACCCUUGUAAC